AGAACCUUUAAUUCUGAUCCAGAGAGGUCAGGAAGGAAGAUAUAUCGGUUGUUUAAUUAAGUAUCUAAAACUAAUACUACUAGCACUUCUGUGUAUAGUUGUAUACGAUAGAGCCUUCCUGUAACUAGGGAAGGCUUUUUUUAU
rfam:[Clostridium] acidurici 9a chromosome, complete genome.